rnacentral:lncRNA from 1 species
CCAUGGUGACCCACUUCAUCCCAAUUCCACAUAAACAAAGCACAGCAAUAUCACAUCACAGCGAAUCAAGCAAUACAAAUAGUGCAGCACGAUAUGGCAAUUCAACAAAAUAAUGCAUGAUAACAUUUAGCCGUGAAUGCAUGAAUGCAGGUGGAUGAUACUAGUUAUCUAACACUACUCACAGUUCUUUAUUGUCCUUUAAAGGACUGUCUUUAU